rnacentral:rRNA from 1 species
GGGCCCGCACAAGCGGUGGAGCAUGUGGCUUAAUUCGAUGCAACGCGAGGAACCUUACCAAGGCUUGACAUAUAGAGGAAAAGUGCAGAAAUGCACUCCCCGCAAGGUCUCUAUACAGGUGGUGCAUGGUUGUCGUCAGCUCGUGUCGUGAGAUGUUGGGUUAAGUCCCGCAACGAGCGCAACCCUCGUCCUAUGUUGCCAGCACGUAAUGGUGGGAACUCAUGGGAUACUGCCGGGGUCAACUCGGAGGAAGGUGGGGAUGACGUCAAAUCAUCAUGCCCCUUAUGUCUUGGGCUUCACGCAUGCUACAAUGGCCGGUACAGAGGGCUGCCAAUACCGCAAGGUGGAGCGAA